GGAAACCGCAUGUGAAAAAGAGCAGCAGCAAGGAAGAGAGAAAAAAAAAAAAAGGAGGGAAAAAAAAAAGGGGGGGGGUUUGGAUUGGACCCCCCCGCCCCGGUGCGGGAGGAAGGACCCGCGGCCGGAGGGCGAGGAGCUGCGGCGGCCGGCGAGGGAAGGGACCGGGGCUGCGUGACCCCCGCGGCGCGGGGGGAGAGGCGAGGAAGAGACGUUUCCCGAUCCUCCCCGCCGAGGAUUUGGGGAGGUUUCCGCGCCUGGAGCCCGUGCCUUUGGAUCUAAAGAGGAUUAUUAUUUUUUUGGGGGUGGCACUGAAGCUGGAUUUGUUCCUGUGCGUGCGGCGCGGGGGGGGGCAUUUGUGCUGCCUCUAGAGGAGCCGGCGGCCCGGCCGGGGCGCGGAGAUCCCCGCGGAUCGCUCCGCACCCCCCGGGAAAGGUGCGCCGAGGGGAUCGGCGGGGGGCGGGGGAGGAGAGGCAGCUGCAGCUGCCGGGGAGGAGGCCCGGCGGAGCGGCAGCAAAGUCAUCGCUAUCGGCCCCCCCUCGGCUGGCUCCGGGCUCGGCGCUCUCCAUGUCUCUGGCUCUGGGCAGCGGCCGCCACAGCAGCGAGUAGGGGGGGAGGAGGAGGAGGAGGAGGAGGAAGAAGAAGGGAGCCCGGGAGUGCCUCCCUCCCUCCCUCCCUCCCCCCGGCAGCCCCGGCCGCCUCCCGUCCCCUCGCCCCGCGUCCCUGCCUUCCCCUCCCCAAGAUGGGCUGUUUAGGGAACAGCAAGACGGAGGAUCAGCGCAACGAGGAGAAGGCGCAGCGGGAGGCCAACAAGAAGAUCGAGAAGCAGCUGCAGAAGGACAAGCAGGUCUAUAGGGCCACGCACCGGCUCCUCCUGCUGGGUGCUGGUGAAUCCGGUAAAAGCACAAUAGUCAAACAGAUGAGGAUCUUGCACGUGAAUGGAUUUAAUGCUGAGUAA